CCUACGGGUGGCAGCAGUGGGGAAUAUUGGACAAUGGGGGCAACCCUGAUCCAGCCAUGCCGCGUGUGUGAAGAAGGCCCUCGGGCUGUAAAGCACUUUCAGUGAGGAAGAACGCCUGGUGGUUAAUACCCAUCAGGAAAGACAUCACUCACAGAAGAAGCACCGGCUAACUCCGUGCCAGCAGCCGCGGUAAUACGGAGGGUGCGAGCGUUAAUCGGAAUUACUGGGCGUAAAGCGCGCGUAGGUGGCUUGAUAAGCCGGUUGUGAAAGCCCCGGGCUCAACCUGGGAACGGCAUCCGGAACUGUCAAGCUAGAGUGCAGGAGAGGAAGGUAGAAUUCCCGGUGUAGCGGUGAAAUGCGUAGAGAUCGGGAGGAAUACCAGUGGCGAAGGCGGCCUUCUGGACUGACACUGACACUGAGGUGCGAAAGCGUGGGUAGCAAACAGGAUUAGAUACCCUGGUAGUC
rnacentral:rRNA from 1 species